rnacentral:lncRNA from 1 species
UUCUAAGUUGGCCAUGCAAAAUGAAAUAAAUAUAAAAAAGAAAUUGGAUUAAAUGAAUUAAUAAACCCGGCCGUGGCAUUUUUGUAAUUUAAGCGUUCAUUAAGUGGAACGCUGCGUUCCAACAGACUGCGUGGCACGGCCUCAAUGGUCACAUGGGACAGAAACAGCAAAUCCAUGCAAGAAAACCAUCAAACACGAUCAAAUACAAUUUCUGGGCUCAUAUUUUUAGGGUUUAUGUGUGUUCAUCAUCGUGAUUUCCAGCAAGAACAUUGUUCCACCAAAAUCAAAAAAGCAACAUACCAAUCAACUCAACUUGCAGUGUACAUCACAAAUCCAACCUUGAUUUACACUAACUCAAACUAUCAAGAGAGAAAUAAGCAAAAACAUAUUUGACAACCAAACUUAGAUUCAAUGUUUCUUCCUUAAUACUCAACCAUUUCUUUCGAUUCAAAGCUCAAUACAUUCAUGGCAAAAAGAUCUGCAAGAAGCAUAGCACGAUUUGGACAAAGAUGUGAUUCGAAUUUUACCUGAUUUUGAAGACAGUGAUGGAACAGCGGUCCUUUGGUCGUGUUUAG